UUUAACUCUUGAUUUUUUCAACUCCUUGCAAAAACUAAGUCAUGCCAAUUAUUCCAUAAAAACAUAACAGGAAAUGCCUACAAGAUAAGAAAGAAUCACAAUAGAAAAGAACAAAUCAAUAGAUCAGUGCCAAAGAAUAGUAUCACUUUUACUUAUGAUAUAUACUAAGCAUUAGACACAUUUUCUAAUUCUACCAAAUGCUAACUAAAGACAAACAAAAGGGUAUGCUCUAAGCUAAAGACAAACAAAACUUAUAUACUCACAAUAAAUGGUGUCUGACAAUACAUCACGUUCAAUUUAAAUUUUCCACAUGCUAACUUAAGGGUUCAAGAAACCAACCAUAUUAUUUCAAACUUUAACUUCUCGCAUGACAAAUAGAAAAUUCAUUUGAUUAAAGCAACCAAUCCUUAGUGCCAUUGAGUUUGUAAUAUAUCCUGAAAUUUAUGAUAAUAAUCAAUGUCUGUCUAUUGAUAGAACUUGAGAAUAGUAUAUCAUUUCAAUCAGUUG
rnacentral:lncRNA from 1 species